ensembl:scaRNA
UUGUCCAGUCAUGUGAUCCUCGUCUCAGUCUAUGACAUUGGAAUCACUGGCAGGACAUACAGAAAUAUCCGUCCAGUAUAGGGGGCAUUUCCCAAGAAGUAGGACUUGAUCCUAAAGGCAGGACGGAACAUC